GCCAGACUCCUACGGGAGGCAGCAGUGGGGAAUAUUGCACAAUGGGGGAAACCCUGAUGCAGCGACGCCGCGUGAGUGAAGAAGUAUUUCGGUAUGUAAAGCUCUAUCAGCAGGGAAGAAAAUGACGGUACCUGAUUAAGAAGCCCCGGCUAACUACGUGCCAGCAGCCGCGGUAAUACGUAGGGGGCAAGCGUUAUCCGGAUUUACUGGGUGUAAAGGGAGCGUAGACGGUAAUGCAAGUCUGGAGUGAAAUGCAGGGGCUCAACCCCUGAACUGCUUUGGAAACUGUAUGACUGGAGUGCAGGAGAGGUAAGUGGAAUUCCUAGUGUAGCGGUGAAAUGCGUAGAUAUUAGGAGGAACACCAGUGGCGAAGGCGGCUUACUGGACUGUAACUGACGUUGAGGCUCGAAAGCGUGGGGAGCAAACAGGAUUAGAUACCCGGGUAUU
rnacentral:rRNA from 1 species